ACGCAUCCCGAUGGGGCGCGGCGCGCCCUGCUCCGACCCGAACGGUCGUGCAGCGGGUGGGCCGCCCCCGUCCAAAACCACAAACCCACUGUGAACCUUCACGGCGGAGGGGGGGCCUCGUCCCCCCCGAGGCCGCAUACCAAACUCCAGUUUCAAAGAAUGUCGAGCGGACGUUGUGCCGCCUAUCACACAUAA
rnacentral:misc_RNA from 1 species